GGCCGCGGGAAUUCGAUUGGGCACGGGGGGAACGCGAAGAACCUUACCUACUCUUGACAUCCAGAGAACUUAGCAGAGAUGCUUUGGUGCCUUCGGGAGCUCUGAGACAGGUGCUGCAUGGCUGUCGUCAGCUCGUGUUGUGAAAUGUUGGGUUAAGUCCCGCAACGAGCGCAACCCUUAUCCUUUGUUGCCAGCGGUCCGGCCGGGAACUCAAAGGAGACUGCCAGUGAUAAACUGGAGGAAGGUGGGGAUGACGUCAAGUCAUCAUGGCCCUUACGAGUAGGGCUACACACGUGCUACAAUGGCAUAUACAAAGAGAAGCGACCUCGCGAGAGCAAGCGGACCUCAUAAAGUAUGUCGUAGUCCGGAUUGGAGUCUGCAACUCGACUCCAUGAAGUCGGAAUCGCUAGUAAUCGUGGAUCAGAAUGCCACGGUGAAUACGUUCCCGGGCCUUGUACACACCGAAUCACU
rnacentral:rRNA from 1 species